AUCUCUGGAGAGUUCCGUUUGAAUGGACGCCGAAGGUGUACGGCUCAAUCCGUCUUAACCCAGUAGGACGAAAAGGGUCAAUCUCUCAGGCAAAAGGACAGAGC
rnacentral:ncRNA from 1 species